rnacentral:rRNA from 1 species
AGGACGAACGCUGGCGGCGUGCUUAACACAUGCAAGUCGAGCGGUAAGGCCUUUCGGGGUACACGAGCGGCGAACGGGUGAGUAACACGUGGGUGAUCUGCCCUGCACUCUGGGAUAAGCCUGGGAAACUGGGUCUAAUACCGGAUAUGACCUGCUCUCGCAGUGGGGGUGGGUGGAAAGAUUUAUCGGUGCAGGAUGGGCCCGCGGCCUAUCAGCUUGUUGGUGGGUAAUGGCCUACCGAAGGCGACGACGGGUAGCCGACCUGAGAGGGUGACCGGCCACACGUGGGACUGAGACACGGCCCAGACUCCUACGGGAGCAGCAGUGGGAAUAUGCAGAAUGGGACAAAGCCUAGGAUGACAGCGACGCCGCGUGAGGAUAGGAAGGCCGUUACGGGUUAGUAAACCUC